GGUGCCGGAGCAGGUCAGGCUGGAGAUGUUGUCCCAUGUCACCCAGUGGGAUAUGCCGACGUUGAGCGACGAAGCCUACCGCAAGCGCCUCUGACCUUAUCCCGCUAUCCGUGGGUUUUCAGGCCUUGCCUGAAAAUUCGGGGAGACCAAGUGUUUCUGAGUAAUGGUGCUUUUCACCAGCCAGUGGGGCGACCCACUGGCAUUUUUA
rnacentral:sRNA from 1 species